rnacentral:rRNA from 1 species
CGGACGGGUGAGUAACGCGUGAGAAUCUGCCCUUAGGAGGAGGAUAACAGCUGGAAACGGUUGCUAAUACUCCAUAUGCCGAGAGGUGAAAGGAUUUUCACCUAAGGAGGAGCUCGCGUCUGAUUAGCUAGUUGGUAAGGUAAUGGCUUACCAAGGCGACGAUCAGUAGCUGGUUUGAGAGGAUGAUCAGCCACACUGGGACUGAGACACGGCCCAGACUCUUACGGGAGGCAGCAGUAGGGAAUUUUCCGCAAUGGGCGAAAGCCUGACGGAGCAACGCCGCGCGAGGGACGAAGGCCUCUGGGCUGUAAACCUCUUUUCUCAAGGAAGAAGAUCUGACGGUACUUGAGGAAUAAGCCACGGCUAAUUCCGUGCCAGCAGCCGCGGUAAUACGGGAGUGGCAAGCGUUAUCCGGAAUUAUUGGGCGUAAAGCGUCCGCAGGCGGCUUUGUAAGUCUGCUGUCAAAACGUGGAGCUUAACUCCAUUUCGGCAGUGGAAACUACGAGGCUUGAGUGUGGUAGGGGCAGAGGGAAUUCCCGGUGUAGCGGUGAAAUGCGUAGAUAUCGGGAAGAACACCAGUGGCGAAGGCGCUCUGCUGGGCCAUAACUGACGCUCAUGGACGAAAGCCAGGGGAGCGAAAGGGAUUAGAUACCCCUGUAGUC